CUUUCUCUAUUAUUUAACUAAAGACACCACUGAAGCAAAAUGUUUUGUUUAUUUCAAGGCAAGAUUUUUUUGUGAUUUUUUUUUUUUUUUUUUUUUUUUGACAGGCCCUUACUGGGAGGAUAAUGCUUUAACUAUCUGCUUUUAAUUAGGCCCAUAAAUUUAAUUCAUAACUACUCAGCAGUGAGCUACAAAAGUAAAACUGAAGUCUGGGAUGGAAAAAAGGGGAAUGGAGGAGGAGGGAGGGCAGGAAUGGAUCCUGUCUGCACUGUCCAGAGUGAAAGAUGACAACUUCUAGCUUCAAGCAAAUAUUGUGAUUCUUUGUCAAAGCCUUUUUCAGAUUUCUACUGAAUGGCCUGAAGGAGGACAAUUUCCAUGAAAUCUGCAUAGUUACAUAUCUGCAACAAAUAUAUCCAUGGCUAAACCACAGCAAGAUUCUGUCAACUAUUUCUAAG
ensembl:lncRNA